rnacentral:rRNA from 1 species
GGGAUUAGUGGCGAACGGGUGAGUAACACGUGAGUAACCUGCCCUUGACUCUGGGAUAAGCCUGGGAAACUGGGUCUAAUACCGGAUAUGACCAUCUGACGCAUGUCAUGGUGGUGGAAAGCUUUUGUGGUUUUGGAUGGACUCGCGGCCUAUCAGCUUGUUGGUGGGGUAAUGGCCUACCAAGGCGACGACGGGUAGCCGGCCUGAGAGGGUGACCGGCCACACUGGGACUGAGACACGGCCCAGACUCCUACGGGAGGCAGCAGUGGGGAAUAUUGCACAAUGGGCGGAAGCCUGAUGCAGCGACGCCGCGUGAGGGAUGACGGCCUUCGGGUUGUAAACCUCUUUCAGUAGGGAAGAAGCGAAAGUGACGGUACCUGCAGAAGAAGCGCCGGCUAACUACGUGCCAGCAGCCGCGGUAAUACGUAGGGCGCAAGCGUUAUCCGGAAUUAUUGGGCGUAAAGAGCUCGUAGGCGGUUUGUCGCGUCUGCUGUGAAAGACCGGGGCUCAACUCCGGUUCUGCAGUGGGUACGGGCAGACUAGAGUGCAGUAGGGGAGACUGGAAUUCCUGGUGUAGCGGUGAAAUGCGCAGAUAUCAGGAGGAACACCGAUGGCGAAGGCAGGUCUCUGGGCUGUAACUGACGCUGAGGAGCGAAAGCAUGGGGAGCGAACAGGAUUAGAUACCCUGGUAGUCCAUGCCGUAAACGUUGGGCACUAGGUGUGGGGGACAUUCCACGUUUUCCGCGCCGUAGCUAACGCAUUAAGUGCCCCGCCUGGGGAGUACGGCCGCAAGGCUAAAACUCAAAGGAAUUGACGGGGGCCCGCACAAGCGGCGGAGCAUGCGGAUUAAUUCGAUGCAACGCGAAGAACCUUACCAAGGCUUGACAUGAACCGGAAAGACCUGGAAACAGGUGCCCCGCUUGCGGUCGGUUUACAGGUGGUGCAUGGUUGUCGUCAGCUCGUGUCGUGAGAUGUUGGGUUAAGUCCCGCAACGAGCGCAACCCUCGUUCUAUGUUGCCAGCGCGUUAUGGCGGGGACUCAUAGGAGACUGCCGGGGUCAACUCGGAGGAAGGUGGGGACGACGUCAAAUCAUCAUGCCCCUUAUGUCUUGGGCUUCACGCAUGCUACAAUGGCCGGUACAAAGGGUUGCGAUACUGUGAGGUGGAGCUAAUCCCAAAAAGCCGGUCUCAGUUCGGAUUGGGGUCUGCAACUCGACCCCAUGAAGUCGGAGUCGCUAGUAAUCGCAGAUCAGCAACGCUGCGGUGAAUACGUUCCCGGGCCUUGUACACACCGCCCGUCAAGUCACGAAAGUUGGUAACACCC